rnacentral:rRNA from 1 species
UGGGGAAUAUUGGACAAUGGGCGCAAGCCUGAUCCAGCCAUGCCGCGUGAGUGAUGAAGGCCUUAGGGUUGUAAAGCUCUUUUGUCCGGGACGCGGUUAGCGUGAAUAGCGCUGACUACUGACGGUACCGGGAGAAUAAGCACCGGCUAACUAC